GCUCAUAGCUCAGUUGGUAGAGUGUUUGCCUCACAUCUCACAUGCACAAGGCCUGGGUUCAAUCCUCAGCACCA
rnacentral:tRNA from 1 species